rnacentral:rRNA from 1 species
GGUGUUGGUUGCUUAAGACAGCAGGACGGUGGCCAUGGAAGUUGGAAUCCGCUAAGGAGUGUGUAACAACUCACCUGCCGAAGCAACUAGCCCUUAAAAUGGUAUGGCGCUGAAGCAUUCUCCCGAUACUCGACCGCCGGGUGCACUAGCGGCCACGUCCCAGAGGCGAGGUCUCGAAGUCCCGGCGAGUAAGAGGGUCGCAGUGGUGAGCGCUGAAGGGAUCCGGCGUGAACCGGCCUGGAGCCGCCACUGGUGCAGAUCUUGGUGGUAGUAGCAAAUACUCGAGAGAGACUCCCUGAAGACCGAUGUGAGA